GCCCAAAAGGUGAUUGUGGACCAGGCUAUCUUGGUGACUUUUGUGACGUGAAAUGUCCGUAUCCAAGUUUUGGUACGGAAUGUCAGGAUGAAUGUUUGUGUGAACAGGAGAAGUGUGAUCCUGAAGGUCAGAAGGUAAUUUCAUGGAAGUGGUAACAACACCUGCUCCAACGUCCAGGAUGACCCAUAAUAUCAUCGUA